GGAGACUCCUGCUGUAUCCCUUAUCAUUUGCAGGACUCGGCCAUGCGGUGGGUCAUAUGACCUUAGACGUUUAGCGUCAAGCGUGUGGUGGUGAGGUGGGGUUAAAUGCCCU
rfam:Paenibacillus sp. FSL H8-0548 NODE_5_length_251317_cov_1.55176_ID_11272, whole genome shotgun sequence.